NCUGUGGCCCGUGUCGGUAGUCCCAGCUACUCGGGAGGACUGAAGCUGGAGGAUCGCUUGAGGCCAGGAGUUCUGGGCUGUAGUGCGCUAUACGGAUAGAGUGUCCGCACUAAGUUCGGCAUCUAUAUGGUGGCCUCCCGGGAGCGGGGAACCACCAGGUUGCCUACGGAGGGGUGGACUGGCCCAGGUCGGAAAUGGAGCAGGUCAAAACUCCCAUGCUGAUCAGUAGUGGGAUCGCGCCUGUGAAUAGCCACUGCACUCCAGCCUGAGCAACAUAGAGAGACCUGUCUCUU
rnacentral:SRP_RNA from 1 species